rnacentral:rRNA from 5 species
GGCCCAGAGGCGCAAUGAAAGUGAAGGACGCCCCAGUCGGUGUCUGCGUUGGGAUCCCGGGGCCGCGAGUCCCGGGCGCACCAACGGCCCGUCCCGUCCGCCACGUCGGUGGGACGGAGCGAGAGCGUACACGUUGGGACCCGAAAGAUGGUGAACUAUGCCUGGGCAGGACGAGGCCAGAGGAAACUCUGGUGGAGGUCCGCAGCGAUUCUGACGUGCAAAUCGAUCGUCAGACCUUGGUAUAGGGGCGAAAGACUAAUCGAACCGUCUAGUAGCUG